GGGCGAGUGGUGAAAUUGGUAUACACUCGACACUUAAAAUGUCGCACCGUUUUCGGUAUGCGGGUUCGAGUCCCGCCUCGCCCA
rnacentral:tRNA from 1 species